rnacentral:lncRNA from 1 species
UGUACUACUGAGUACCGGGAAUAAAAGCUGUGACGCGUAAGAAGCAUCUCACACGUCCCUUCUCGUUGUUUUGUAUACAGGUGCAUUAAUUUGGCGCCGAGCUGAGCAGAUUCCGCACUACACUCCCCUUCACCAAGGCAAGGAGAAUCUUUGUCUGCCAGUGUCCACCUGUACGCGCAUCAUAAAGGAGAAAUAUGCACUACUAGCCAAUACUAUAUUGCAAACCGGACCACGAUGUCGUAUAACUGGGCAAACGUGGCCUAAAACUGAGCAAUGCAAACUCUUUAGGUGCAGGUACAGCGUGGUCAUGCGUUCCCUCACAGGACAUUGGCUAUUAGGCAACCAUGGGAUCGGACCACUGCAGACUUUAUGUACCACAGGAUGAAGAACAGGAAACGAUCUAAAGCAAAAUCACAACGGGCCAAAACCGGCCUAAGUGAGCCUGGAUCGUGUCGAUUCCGACAACAGCCUCUACCUAAACUCACUUAACGAACAGCAAGUACCGCUCCAGUAACAUAAAACUUUGCUAAAUAUU